rnacentral:rRNA from 1 species
UCUGGCGUCUUCGGCGUCCGAGUUGUAAUUUGUAGAGGAUGCUAUUGAGUUGUCACCGGUCUAAGUUCCUUGGAACAGGACGUCAUAGAGGGUGAGAAUCCCGUAUGUGACCGGCCAGACGCUCUCUGUAUAGCUCCUUCGACGAGUCGGGUUGUUUGGGAAUGCAGCCCUAAAUGGGAGGUAAAUUUCUUCUAAAGCUAAAUACCGGCCAGAGACCGAUAGCGCACAAGUAGAGUGAUCGAAAGAUGAAAAGCACUUUGGAAAGAGAGUUAAAAAGCACGUGAAAUUGUUGAAAGGGAAGCGCUUGCAAUCAGUCUCGACGGCGGCUGUUCGGCCUCUCUUCUGAGUGGUUUAUUCAGUCGCCGCCGGGCCAGCAUCAGUUCUGGCGGUCGGAUAAAGACGCGGGGAAUGUAGCUCCUCUCGGGGAGUGUUAUAGCCUCGCGUGCAAUACGGCCUGCCGGGACUGAGGUCCGCGCUUCGGCUAGGAUGCUGGCGAAAUGGUUGUAAGCGGCCCGUCUUGAAACACGGACCAAGGAGUCUAACAUCUAUGCGAGUGUUUGGGUGUCAAACCCGUACGCGUAAUGAAAGUGAACGGAGGUGGGAACCGCAAGGUGCACCAUCGACCGAUCCUGAUGUCUUCGGAUGGAUUUGAGUAAGAGCAUAGCU